GGCUGUUUACGGCAUUCAUAUGGUUUCCUGUUUGGCGGAUUUGUGUUCUGCAGUAGCUGUGCCUGUGCAUCUGAAAGGGGAAUAUUGCCUAAACGUUUUUUAACCUCUUGUGGGCAAAACGGUCCGUUACAAUCCUUGUCUCCGCUUGAUCCUUGGGUAAUGGCAGGGUGUCCCGCCUUAUUAAGUCUUGGGGUCGGGAAGGCUCACUCUGGGAGCCCCAGGUCCAGGCCCUGCAUUCUCCCGCUUAGGCCGAGGCCCCGGAUGGUCGCGUGGCUUGCAUGCGGGACCGAUUUUGUCUCUGGGGUAUUUGGGGAGGGUCGAGGUAAAUGUGUAAAAGGCCAAGGGAUCAGGCCACUGCAUUUGGACCGGGAGGAGUUGUAGUUCCCGGGUUAAUUCAAUUAGGUCGUCCCCCUCUCUCACCAUGAGAGGUCCAGUUGGUGUAAAGACUUGCAUACCGGAUGGGAAGUUCCAGCGGUAACUUAUCAUAUUUGAU